rnacentral:lncRNA from 1 species
GACUCCUUAGCUGUCUCGUACAGGACAGCCCUGGCCACCAGCAGGGCAGCCGGGAGACUGUGCCGGGCCCGCACAGGAAGUCCCUGGUGGAGGCCAGAUCUCCAGUCUGUGCCCUGUUAGCUGUCCCACUGCCCACUCGAUUUCGUGCACACUUGGAAGCCUGAAGACCUCAAUCCGGGCCCACACUCUACGACCGUCUCGCUCUGGGUGACUCAAGAACACCACUCCUCGCUGGCCUCUCAUCUAAGCUGGGCCCAUAGUUCACCAGUCAGGCCCUUCACUCUCAGCCACCUUCGCUGCACACAGUUAAAAAGUUUCUUUCUGGUCUCCACACAGGCUCCUGUAAGGCCGGACCCCGCGGGCCAUGAUGGGCCGCCCCUCCUCUCCCUCCUGNNNNNNNGGGAAGUCCCUAUCGGAAGGAGCCUCGCAGAUCCCAGGACCGAUGACAGCACACUUCGGCAGCUAAAGCCGCCCCACCCCAGCCACGAAGAAGGACCUGUCAGCCUGUGAUGCCUGGGCGUGGCGACCUAUCUGACCCCCAUCCAUCUAGCCUGACCAUCCCUUGCAACGAACGUAUAAAAGCCACCCCCCACACGAUCUGGGCCACGGACUUCCUUGACCUGCCUCUUUCGGGUCUGGGAACCCCGCCCGGGAGCGCUUCGCCAUUACAGAGCCUGUUAGACACUGUUUGGGUGUCCUGGUCUUUUACCUAAUAUUUACAAUGUUGUGUUAGUUUCAGUUAUACAGCUAAGUGAGUCAGUUAUACAUAUAUCCACGCUUUUCUAGAUUCUUUUUCCAUAUCGGUCAUGACAGGGUACUGAGUAGAGUUCCCUGUGCUGUACAGAAGGUCGUUAUUCCUCAUCUAUUUUAUAUAUAGUACUGUGUACAUGUCAACCUCAGUCUUCCAAUUUAUCCCUCCCCUCCUUACCC